CCUACGGGCGGCAGCAGUGAGGAAUAUUGGUCAAUGGACGAGAGUCUGAACCAGCCAAGUAGCGUGAAGGAUGACUGCCCUAUGGGUUGUAAACUUCUUUUAUAAAGGAAUAAAACGCGGCACGUGUGCCUUUUUGCAUGUACUUUAUGAAUAAGGAUCGGCUAACUCCGUGCCAGCCGCCGCGGUAAUACGGAGGAUCCGAGCGUUAUCCGGAUUUAUUGGGUUUAAAGGGAGCGUAGAUGGGUUGUUAAGUCAGUUGUGAAAGUUUGCGGCUCAACCGUAAAAUUGCAAUUGAAACUGGCAGUCGUGAGUGCAUGUGAGGGAAGCGGAAUUCGUGGUGGAGCGGUGAAAUGCGUAGAUAUCACGAAGAACCUCGAUUGCGAAGGCAGCUUACUAAAAUGUGACUGACAUUGAUGCGCGAAAGUGUGGGUAUCAAACAGGAUUAGAGACCCCUGUAGUC
rnacentral:rRNA from 1 species